rnacentral:rRNA from 1 species
CAAUAGCGUAUAUUUAAGUUGUUGCAGUUAGAACGCUCGUAGUCGGAUUUCGGGGCGGGCCGACCGGUCUGCCGAUGGGUAUGCACUGGUCGGCGCGUCCUUCCUUCCGGAGACCGUCCCUACUCUUAACUGAGCGGGGGCGGGAGACGGGACUUUUACUUUGAAAAAAUCAGAGUGUUUCAAGCAGGCAGCUCGCUCUUGCAUGGAUUAGCAUGGGAUAAUGAAAUAGGACUUUGGUGCUAUUUUGUUGGUUUCGAACACCGAAGUAAUGAUGAGAAGGGACAGUCAGGGGCACUCGUAUUCCGCCGAGAGAGGUGAAAUUCUCAGACCAGCGGAAGACGAACCACUGCGAAAGCAUUUGCCAGGGAUGUUUUCACUGA